UACGUAGGGGGCAAGCGUUGUCCGGAUUUAUUGGGCGUAAAGAGCGUGUAGGCGGCCACACAGGUCUGCUGUGAAAACUCGAGGCUCAACCUCGAGCUGUCGGUGGAAACCGUGUGGCUAGAGUCCGGAAGAGGAGAGUGGAAUUCCCGGUGUAGCGGUGAAAUGCGCAGAUAUCGGGAAGAACACCAGUGGCGAAGGCGACUCGCUGGACAAGUAUUGACGCUGAGGUGCGAAAGCGUGGGGAGCAAACAGG
rnacentral:rRNA from 1 species